rnacentral:rRNA from 1 species
UACGUAGGGGGCAAGCGUUGUCCGGAAUCAUUGGGCGUAAAGCGCGUGUAGGCGGCUCGAUAAGUCUGCUGUGAAAGUCCAGGGCUCAACCCUGGGAUGCCGGUGGAUACUGUCGAGCUCGAGUCCGGAAGAGGAGUGUGGAAUUCCUGGUGUAGCGGUGAAAUGCGCAGAUAUCAGGAGGAACACCAAUGGCGAAGGCAGCACUCUGGGACGUGACUGACGCUGAGACGCGAAAGCGUGGGAGCAACAAGGAU